AGACACCUAAGACAUGAUGGUGGCAGGAGAGCCGAAAGGAAGCGAGGGUGUCUGGAAGGGAGUCAUGCAUGCUGCCACGUCCAUGAGGUGUUGGGGAGACAACGAGGAGAGGAGUGAUCUCUUCCAGGAGAUGACAAGAGAAAAAGAAAAAGAUUGCUUGCCUCUUGCAGAGAUACAAAACAGAUUGUAAGGCCAGACUACACCCAGGAUGAGAGAUGUUGGACCAGUCUUUGCUUCUAGUAGCCACAUCCUGCCUCUUACGGGACCCCUCUGGAGAUCACACCAAAUCUGUGUUCGUAUAACACAAAUGAAGACUCUGCCUAAAAAGCAAGUAAGUGUUCCCUUUGAGUAGUAGGCACCUGGGGAA